rnacentral:lncRNA from 1 species
GCCCACCCAAGAGAUGGAAUCUAAUUAAUAAUCUAGGCAUUUAGAUUAAGGCUGCAAAUGGGUCGGGUUGACCCAUGACCCAACCCAAUCUGACCCGCUUAGACCCAAUCCGAUCCAUUUUAAAAGACCUGCGAGGUCGGAUCGGGUUCUAAAAUUGGACCUGUUCAAUAUUCCAGGUCAAAUCUGAGUUUACUGAAUUAAAAUUCGAUCCGACCUGAUCCGAUCUAAAUUCAAUAUUGAAUUCAAUAUGUAAACUAUACAGCAAAUAGAGUGGGA